rnacentral:lncRNA from 1 species
GCUAGCUUGGUGGGAAGGUUUCUGCCGUGGGCCUGGCUCCUCCAGUUGGGGCUGGGGGAGCAGCCGCCUCGGGGAGCCGCCCUUUCCCAUAUGAAGCCGAAGCCUGGGCACUGGUUUUAGUGGUAGAGGCUCAUUCACCUGCCUGCUGGUCGGCACCCAAGAGUUGCACCUUGUUGCCCAGGUAGAAUGGAAAAGCUCCGGCAGCCCAACACUGCCAGUCUCUGGGUGGGACCUGGGACUGCACCGCACAAUGAACCCCACACCACGAAGCCUGCAUCACCAACCCCACAAAUGAGCCCUGGGCCUCAAUCUCAAGACAGCUGAGAAGGUGCUCGAAUGUUAAGGCGGCAGAAUGUUAAGGCACUGCUGUUUGGACAGUUGGAAGAAAAACCCUAGAAAGAAAAUUUCCAACUGUAACUAGUUUGUUGGAUGAAAAAGAGGGGGGCUUAUGCACCCUCUAAUGUGGGGUACCUAUUAGGGAAGCUGCCCUCAUGGUUAUUCAGGGUUUGGCUGCUUGGCCUAUAUUUUCUGGUGUUUUCUAUCAACGACUGCAUCUUUGUGACCAGGCGUCUUUGAGGUAUUGUUUCCCUGCACUAAAG